AAAAGCCAUUUGCCCUCUGUCACCCAACCAAUCAGGAUCCAGCCAAGAGGAAGCGGAGCAGUAGCCUGGCAGUUUUCUCCAGGCUCCUCUGAAUUUCCUCAACCUGGUUCAGCAGAAUGUCACAGAAAAUUAACUCUCCGGGGUUAUUAGGGACCCCUUCCCUUCCCCCUCCCCACUAAGAAGCAAUGCGUGAUUUCAGGCUAAUAUUUACCCCAAUCACAAGCAACACCUUGUGACGUCCGGGGUAAGAGAGCAGCGGGCAUUGUACGCAGGCCCGGCACAAUACCCGUCGCCUUGAACCACUCGAGUGAAGGCUGCUCCCAGAACCUCAAAAUCCCUCCAGUGUUACUAGGCAGAACCAUUCACCACUGUCUGGGACCCAAUCUGAAGGCAGUCGAUUGGCCCAUAUAAGUAUUUGCUAAAAUGAAGACGGUUCUCUCCUCUAAGAUGAGUUCUGCCGCAGCUCAACUAACAGGCAACCUACAAGAGUUAUUUCAGGGCUAUCGAAUGGUUAUAAUUUAGGAUCCAUUUUACAAUCCCUCCAUACCUAGGCGGAGACGACUUUCACAAUGAAAACUGUAGCAAGCACCAACCACAGCCAACCUGCAGUUCCUUUCUGACCCGCCGUGUCGUUAUUAAUUGAAAAGUUAACAUCAACUGGACAGCAUAGAUACUUUUACAAAUCUAUAGAGGCUUGAGCCGCGAGUCGCACACAAACGGUCAUGGAGGAAAAUAACACAGAAGAAGUUGCCAGGAAAGAGCUAAAUGAACUUUCUCCUUGUUAAGAAAUGUUUAGGUCCUUUUGUUUGUAAAUGGCAGGUGGGUGGUACAAUUCCAGUGUAAUUUCAGAAAGCCAUCUUCUGAAUGUAAUAAACAUGUCUGCAAUAAUAGGAUUCAGAAAAUCGCAAAAUGCAUUCCAGAAACCCUUUGAUUGUGCAUACAGAACAGAGGAUUUAGCUAUAAUUGGCUAUAACACAGUUAUGGACGGCAAAUGACACACGCCGGAGCUGGGUGAUGUAGCAGCUCUGAUUAGCGACGGUAAGGUUCAGCUGAACAUCGCGAAUAAAACAGCAAGUGCAUG